UACGGAGGGUGCAAGCGUUAUCCGGAUUCACUGGGUUUAAAGGGUGCGUAGGCGGGUUGGUAAGUCCGUGGUGAAAUCCCCAAGCUUAACUUGGGAACUGCCAUGGAUACUAUUUGUCUUGAAUGUUGUGGAGGUAAGCGGAAUAUGUCAUGUAGCGGUGAAAUGCUUAGAUAUGACAUAGAACACCAAUUGCGAAGGCAGCUUACUACACAAAUAUUGAUGCUGAGGCACGAAAGCGUGGGGAUCAAACAGG
rnacentral:rRNA from 1 species